ACGGAGGGCGCAAGCGUUGUUCGGAAUUACUGGGCGUAAAGCGCUCGCAGGCGGUCCCUUAAGUCCGCCGUGAAACUCCGGGGCUCAACCCCGGACUGGCGACGGAUACUGAAGGACUGGAGACUGGUAGAGGCUAGCGGAAUUCUUGGUGUAGCGGUGGAAUGCGUAGAUAUCAGGAAGAACACCGGUGGCGAAGGCGGCUAGCUGGGCCAGUUCUGACGCUCAUGAGCGAAAGCGUGGGGAGCAAACAGG
rnacentral:rRNA from 1 species